CAUCAGCCCUCUAAAACACAGCAGAACAGAUAUCAGAUCUUGGGCAGCAAGACAAGAGGAAUCUUGAACUUUCUGCUUCAAUUUCAUUUAGUAGCCUUCACACAGAUACCUCAGCAAGGACUGAAGGAAAGUUAGCUGAAACCACAGUUAGCCUGCUGCCUUCCUACCCAAUUGUCACAUCCUCUGGCAUGAUGAUGACUUUGAAGUUAAAGUGAAGCUGAGAACAGCGUGACAAUCUCUGACAGAGAGGAGGAGGAUGUGCAAACAAUCUACUCUUUGAAAAAGAUUAGGAUACCUUGUAAUGAGAAAGCAGGGUUUCAGAAUACAGAGCUGCUGUACAGUUUAGCUUCAAAACAACCUCCCCCCACAGCACACCCGUAAGAAGCCUUCAGAGAUCUACAUUGGGAACAUGGAGGGAGAACAAAGCACAGGGGGGAGCUGGAACCACACAAGCUUGGUGGAAAGAGUAAACUUGGAUUUAUUUAAUACCCAGCAAGCAGUUAGAAGCUUAGACUCUGCUGGUCCAGGUUAAACCAGAAGUCAUCUCAAAUCACUCUACCAGUUGAGAAAUGACACCCUUACUUACGAUUGGUGGAAAUGAGCACAGAAGAAACAUGAGCAGGUUUUCUGGAACUACAUGAGCUGAUAUAUUGCU